UGCUUGUCAGUUGUUUGACCUUAACCAGUUGAGCAUGUCCCUUAGUGGCUGACGAUAUGUGCAUCUCUGAUCACGAGCAGAAGUUAUUGGCGGGAGCAUCGUAGCCAUGUGUUGAGAGGGAUUCUUUGGGGUUUGAAUAAAUGUAACAAAAGUAAAGUUUGAAGGAAAUAUUAGCCGUUUUUCAUACUUUCUAAGGAUAAGCAAAUAUGAAAUAACAGUUGAUGUCGAAGG